CAAUCUGGACGGCGUGUUCAUGAAAAUAUCAAAUCCAAAACUGGCUGAGCCUCAUCUGCCAGUGAAAGCCAAUUUUUCAGUUAAUGGCCGGGAUUACCCGGUUGGAAUGUCAUUUGCUAAGACUGAGCCACUGCCAAAAGGAAUUAAAAUUGGAGACGCGAGUCGUUUAAUGUUGCCAAUCGAGAAACCUUUCUUUGCAGCUCUUUUGCAAGUUAUUGCGAUGGCUAAAAUCCCUCAAAUUGCCAGUGGCAAUUCGCAAACAAUCUGCAAACGUCCAAGUUGCGAGUCGUCACCAUAACUCGCGGCACUCGGAAUCGCAUUGGAAAUGGCCCUUGCUAGCGGAGAAGCCAUUCCGCAGCUUAAUGCUUCCGGUCGGCGAUGGCGAAAGGGAUGCCGGAAGUGUUUUGGUGCUCCUAAAUGCGUUUUGGCCCGGACCUCUUCGUGCAUUUCUUUCGCCAUUCGCCUCCCUGGACACUAGAUGUCUUCGUUGACUCUGGCUGCAAAAUGAUGUUUACUCUGCUUUCUAACUUUGUGCUCCUCCUGAUUCCUUGGAGCACAGUCACACGCAUGAACCGACCUUCGCAAAUAAAGCCAUCCCCAGUUGCACAGUUGGCAAAA
rnacentral:sRNA from 1 species